AAGCGCUUGCAGCCAGACUUAUUUGCAGUCGCUCAUCCAGGCCCACGCCUGGUGCACUCGUUUGCAAGUAGGCCAGCAUCAGUUCGGGCGGCUGGACAAAGGCUUGGGGAAUGUAGCUCUCUUCGGGGAGUGUUAUAGCCCUAGGUGUCAUGCAGCCAGCCUGGACUGAGGUCCGCGCUUCGGCUAGGAUGCUGGCGUAAUGGCGGCAAGCGG
rnacentral:rRNA from 1 species